rnacentral:sRNA from 1 species
UUGCUAUCUGCGAUAUGGAAGAUUCGAACCUGCCGCAGGUUCGGGUCUCACGUAGUGAGACAACGGAGCCGCUUGCGGCGACGGCCCGAAGGGCGAGCAACGCGAGUCAUCCUGCACGACCCACCA